GAGGCUAUAGCUUAGUUGGUGGAGUGCUUGCCUUGCAUGCACAAGGCCCUGGGUUCGAUCCCCAGCCCCCUCC
rnacentral:tRNA from 1 species